rnacentral:rRNA from 1 species
CAGCAGCCACGGUAAUACGUAGGGUGCAAGCGUUAAUCGGAAUUACUGGGCGUAAAGCGUGCGCAGGCGGUUUGUUAAGACAGAUGUGAAAUCCCCGGGCUCAACCUGGGAACUGCAUUUGUGACUGGCAAGCUAGAGUAUGGCAGAGGGGGGUGGAAUUCCGCGUGUAGCAGUGAAAUGCGUAGAUAUGCGGAGGAACACCGAUGGCGAAGACAGCCCCCUGGGCCAAUACUGACGCUCAUGCACGAAAGCGUGGGGAGCAAACAGGAUUAGAUACCCCAGUAGUCCCUGUCUCUUAUAC